rnacentral:misc_RNA from 1 species
CUGUUCAAAUGAAUUUUUUUAGCAAAAUAAUUGCCGUCUCUCCAGAUAAAGAUUGCUUUAAUUUUAUAAAUUGAUUGAUUGUAACUAAAGGCUGGAUCAACUUUUGCGUUAUGUCAAACACUGGGUGCAACUGGAUUAUAUUCUAUACUAUUUAAAUCAACUGGAAGUGUACUUGGAGGUGGAGCUCUUGGAAUGCUCUACAAAAACCGUUUCAAUAAUGGUUGGUGCUCCUGCGAUCAACCGCCUUUAAUGCCAAAUGCGCCAAAUAAGUGCUGAAGGUACUUUCAUCAAAAUUGUAGAAAAUAAAAAGCGAAUAAGGAUUUUUUUCAACUUAUAUCAUACAUUUUCUCACAAAAUUCAAUGUUUAUUAAUUUGAUUUACAUUAUCAAUUUGAUGCAUUGUAUAUAUAAUAAUUUCAUUUCCUGAUUUACUAUAAAGUUAUUUAAGUGCAUAAAUGUAUAAUUCAUAGCUUAUUGUUUGUUAUUAUUGUAAUGACAUAAUUUUAUUUAAUCAUUUUCUUAA